GACGAACGCUGGCGGCACGCUUAACACAUGCAAGUCGAACGAGGUCCAUGGAGCUUGCUCCGGAAGACCUAGUGGCGAACGGGUGCGUAACACGUGAGAAACCUGCCCCGAACUUGGGAAUAACAGUCGGAAACGACUGCUAAUACCGAAUACCUUCACAACGUCGCAUGGCGACGUGAAGAAAGCUCCGGCGGUUCGGGAGGGUCUCGCGGCCUAUCAGCUUGUUGGUGAGGUAACGGCUCACCAAGGCAUCGACGGGUAGCUGGUCUGAGAGGAUGAUCAGCCACACUGGAACUGAGACACGGUCCAGACUCCUACGGGAGGCAGCAGUGGGGAAUAUUGCACAAUGGGCGCAAGCCUGAUGCAGCGAUGCCGCGUGCGGGAAGAAGGCCCUAGGGUUGUAAACCGCUUUCAGCAGGGAAGAAAAUGACGGUACCUGUAGAAGAAGGUGCGGCCAACUACG
rnacentral:rRNA from 1 species